CAUGCAGUCGAACGAUGACUUUUGUGCUUGCACAGAAUGAUUAGUGGCGAACGGGUGAGUAACACGUGAGUAACCUGCCCCUGACUCUGGGAUAAGCCUGGGAAACUGGGUCUAAUACUGGAUAUGCACCGUAGACCGCAUGGUUUUUGGUGGAAAGAAUUUUGGUCAGGGAUGGACUCGCGGCCUAUCAGCUUGUUGGUGAGGUAAUGGCUCACCAAGGCGACGACGGGUAGCCGGCCUGAGAGGGUGACCGGCCACACUGGGACUGAGACACGGCCCAGACUCCUACGGGAGGCAGCAGUGGGGAAUAUUGCACAAUGGGCGAAAGCCUGAUGCAGCGACGCCGCGUGAGGGAUGACGGCCUUCGGGUUGUAAACCUCUUUCAGUAGGGAAGAAGCGAAAGUGACGGUACCUGCAGAAGAAGCGCCGGCUAACUACGUGCCAGCAGCCGCGGUAAUACGUAGGGCGCAAGCGUUAUCCGGAAUUAUUGGGCGUAAAGAGCUCGUAGGCGGUUUGUCGCGUCUGCCGUGAAAGUCCGAGGCUCAACUUCGGAUCUGCGGUGGGUACGGGCAGACUAGAGUGAUGUAGGGGAGACUGGAAUUCCUGGUGUAGCGGUGAAAUGCGCAGAUAUCAGGAGGAACACCGAUGGCGAAGGCAGGUCUCUGGGCAUCUACUGACGCUGAGGAGCGAAAGCAUGGGGAGCGAACAGGAUUAGAUACCCUGGUAGUCCAUGCCGUAAACGUUGGGCACUANGUGUGGGGGACAUUCCACGUUUUCCGCGCCGUAGCUAACGCAUUAAGUGC
rnacentral:rRNA from 1 species